GACGAACGCUGACGGCGUGAUCAACACAUGCAAGUCGAAGGGAGUGGCGAACGGGUGAGUAACACGUGAGUAACCUGCCCUUUUCUUUGGGAUAAGCCUGGGAAACUGGGUCUAAUACUGGAUGGAGUGGGAUGGGCUCGCGGCUUAUCAGCUUGUUGGUGGGGUGAUGGCUUACCAAGGCUUUGACGGGUAGCCGGCCUGAGAGGGUGUUCGGUCACACUGGGACUGAGAUACGGCCCAGACUCCUACGGGAGGCAGCAGUGGGGGAUAUUGCACAAUGGGCGAAAGCCUGAUCCAGCCAUGCCGCGUUUGUGAAGAAGGUCUUCGGAUUGUAAACACUUUAAGUUGGGAGGACGUUACCAACAGAAUAAGCACCGGCUAACUUCGUGCCAGCAGCCGCGGUAAUUC
rnacentral:rRNA from 1 species